ensembl:lncRNA
UAGCCUUUCAGAUCCUAAUCUGACUAGUCUUCUGAUGUCACAUUCACUUCUUUAACCCAGAGAGAGAACUUGCAUAGGUUCCUCAACACUCGUUUUGUGAUUCCUUGUUCUUUCACUAUCAAAAAUUGAGGGACAACCCACCUCAGCAAACUGAAAUCUAAUUGGCCCAGCAGAAGAGAAACUGAAGAGAAGUGUUUCUGUUGAAGUAAAGGUUGUUCACAAAAAGCUUGGUUUUGUUCCACUUUUAUAGAAACAUUCGGAGAGUCAUUACAAUUAGUAAAAGUCUUUAUAUGUGAAUAGCAUUUGUAGAUUGGUGGCACAAAACUGAUUAAUUUCACUUUAUUCUCAAUAUAUUUGUUGUAGAAGCAAAGGCCACUAAGAAGGGUUCCAUCUCUAAGCAACUUUGAAGGUUUUGAUGACAACUGAGGGCUGACCAGUUCUCUGGUGGUUACUGCUACUGAUCCAUCCAAACUGCUGGACUUCUUCAUACCCAAGGUCUUCAGGCAGUAUCUAAUGGGAAGUCAACUUAAAGGAACCAGACCAUCAUUUCCCAGCCUGCCCUUUUAUUC